AUUGAACGCUGGCGGGAGGCCUAACACAUGCAAGUCGAACGAGUGGCGGACGGGUGAGUAAUGUCUGGGAAACUGCCUGAUAGCGGGGGAUAACUACUGGAAAGGGUAGCUAAUACCGCAUACCAUCGGAUGUGCCCAUAUGGGAUUAGCUAGUAGGUGGGGUAAAGGCUCACCAAGGCGACGAUCCCUAGCUGGUCUGAGAGGAUGACCAGCCACACUGGGACUGAGACACGGUCCAGACUCCUACGGGAGGCAGCAGUGGGGAAUAUUGCACAAUGGGCGAAAGCCUGAUGCAGCCAUGCCGCGUGUAUGAAGAAGGCCUUCGGGUUGUAAAGUACUUUCAGCGGGGAGGCGUUACCCGCAGAAGAAGCACCGGCUAACUCCGUGCCAGCAGCCGCGGUAAUUC
rnacentral:rRNA from 1 species